AUUGAACGCUGGCGGCAGGCUUAACACAUGCAAGUCGAGCGGAGAGAAGUAGCUUGCUACUGAUCUUAGCGGCGGACGGGUGAGUAAUGCUUAGGAAUCUGCCUAUUAGUGGGGGACAACAUUUCGAAAGGAAUGCUAAUACCGCAUACGUCCUACGGGAGAAAGCAGGGGAUCUUCGGACCUUGCGCUAAUAGAUGAGCCUAAGUCGGAUUAGCUAGUUGGUGGGGUAAAGGCCUACCAAGGCGACGAUCUGUAGCGGGUCUGAGAGGAUGAUCCGCCACACUGGGACUGAGACACGGCCCAGACUCCUACGGGAGGCAGCAGUGGGGAAUAUUGGGCAAUGGGCGGAAGCCUGAUCCAGCCAUGCCGCGUGUGUGAAGAAGGCCUUAUGGUUGUAAAGCACUUUAAGCGAGGAGGAGGCUACUUUAGUUAAUACCUAGAGAUAGUGGACGUUACUCGCAGAAUAAGCACCGGCUAACUCUGUGCCAGCAGCCGCAGUAAUAC
rnacentral:rRNA from 1 species